GAUGUUAGCGGCGGACGGGUGAGUAACACGUGGGUAACCUGCCUGUAAGACUGGGAUAACUCCGGGAAACCGGAGCUAAUACCGGAUGGUUCCUUGAACCGCAUGGUUCAAGGAUGAAAGAUGGUUUCGGCUGUCACUUACAGAUGGACCCGCGGCGCAUUAGCUAGUUGGUGAGGUAACGGCUCACCAAGGCGACGAUGCGUAGCCGACCUGAGAGGGUGAUCGGCCACACUGGGACUGAGACACGGCCCAGACUCCUACGGGAGGCAGUGACAGGGAAUCUUCCGCAAUGGACGAAAGUCUGACGGAGCAACGCCGCGUGAGUGAUGAAGGUUUCCGGAUCGUAAAGCUCUGUUGUUAGGGAAGAACAAGUGCAAGAGUAACUGCUUGCACCUUGACGGUACCUAACCAGAAAGCCACGGCUAACUACGUGCCAGCAGCCGCGGUAAUACGUAGGUGGCAAGCGUUGUCCGGAAUUAUUGGGCGUAAAGGGCUCGCAGGCGGUUUCUUAAGUCUGAUGUGAAAGCCCCCGGCUCAACCGGGGAGGGUCAUUGGAUACUGGGAAACUUGAGUGCAGAAGAGGAGAGUGGAAUUCCACGUGUAGCGGUGGAAUGCGUAGAGAUGUGGAGGAACACCAGUGGCGAAGGCUCAGCUCUGGUCUGUAACUGACGCUGAGGAGCGAAAG
rnacentral:rRNA from 1 species